rnacentral:lncRNA from 1 species
AUUUCUUUCCCUUGAUGAGAUCAGCGACUUUCGUCAUGCAGGUAAACAAGUCCUCUCCGCUCGGGAAGUGUUAUCACGCAACAGUUUGUACUGUGUUGCUAAGCUUCAUGCAACGAAUGUAUCUCUUUCGUCAUAAAGAUGCAUAUAAAUGAAACCAGACGACUGUUUCGUCAGUUGAUCUUCAGCGAAUUCGGCUGACUGACAGAGCUUCACGAUCUUUUCACCUGUAGUAGCAUCGACUCUCAAGCACCAACCAGCAAUUUAAUUGUAUCAUCAUUCAAGCGCCAAGGUCUAAUAACUGAACACAUCCUUCACUUCUGUGAUAGAAACUGCUGUUCUCACAGAUCAGCCAGCCUCUAUGGAAGACUCUAAACAAGCUCCACAGAACGAAAACGUUCUUCCUGACCACAGGCACAGCAAAUGGAUGCAUUGGAGAUUUUUUCAAUAUUCUUCAAAGCCUAAUUUGGAUAAUGAGAUGUCAAUAGGUCAAGAUCCUGCCAGUCCAGAUUCUCUUGGCAACAGUCAAACCCAAGACAAGAAGCCAUCAUAUGAAUGCAGGAGAUGGAAGAGAAACCGAUGCAAUAAAGCAGAUUUGAAGCCAACUGAAGGUGAAGCAGCUUUAACUCAGUUGGGUAAUGAAGAUACCAAGGAAGCAUAUCCUGAGCUGUGGAAGUACAGGCAAGACUGGCAUUGCCAGUGGCAACGGUUUCAUCAAAAGAUGUGCUCAAAGCAAAGAUAUCUCUUUGCAGAGUUUGACUUUCUGUAAAAAUGUGAUUAUAUCUUUAUAACUCAGACAUUAGAGAUGGACAUAACUAUCUUGAUGCUAUCAGCUUGAUUUUUUUACUUAUUAUACCAUUAAGAAAGAAGACAAUGUUGUAAUCAUUUUGAGUAUCAUAGGCAAAAGCAAACAAAGUUUCAUAACAGAAAUGCAUGAAAAGAAUGAUCUUUGUCAUUCAGAAAAAAAAAAUUAUGAUGAAAGGCAAAAACUCCGGUUUCUUGCGUGCAGUUUCUCCGUGCAGCAAACAUUUCCCGUUUGACCCAGCUGUUGUUAAUAUGUACCAAACACCAUAGGCAGUUGGAAAGGAGAUGACCACCACCAUAGCAAAAAUCUGACCCCAACUCCCCAGCAUGAAUUACUCCCCAAUUCAUGGAAGAAUCAUUUAAAGUCUUUGAGGCACAUUUUUAUAUCGAUAACCUAAUUUCGCUGUUUACGUUCGUGUUUACGUGUAGUUUUUGUGAUCAUGCCAGAAGAAGAGUUGAAUUUUUUUUUCAUUGUGUUGCAUUUAUUUAAUCCGUCAGUAUUAAACAAUACUAAUGUGUGUCAUCCACAAUAUAUUCAUGAGUACUAUUUUAAAAAUAACUAAUGGCUUUUAAGACACACUGUAGUGCAGUUUAGUUCAGAUGAGGUCUGCCUUAAAGGAACUGCUAACUUUAGUAACAAAAAUUUGUCUACAUAAAUAGAAAUUCUUUUAGCUGUAGAAAUUCUGGUAAGAACAUUAAAACAGAUAUUAACUAUGACUUAAAAAAAGAAAUCUUGGUUUUCUUGGCAUUACUGUGUGCUUAAAACACCAACUCAGCUAGCAGGCAUUUAACUUACAGCUGUUUGUGAGAUUGCAAAGUUCAGUAUUAAAAGGAAAAAGAGCACUAGACAUGCAAACAAACAAAUGAAUCAGUCACACAUGCAAGUGGUUCAAAUAGUUUCAUUGCAAUAGUUACAAACAAAAGGCAGACCAUUAAUUUCACCAUAUGGAAUGUUACAGCAGGUUAUUUUCAAUGAUUGGCAUUUAUAAUUGUGUAAGAUUUAUUUUUUUAGAAAGCAACAUACCAUCUCAAGGAAACAUAGCCUUUCCCAUUUCCUCAUGCCUUUCUCUUCCUGACAGAGAGCAAUCUUAAAUAUGGCAGAGGAUGUUUGGAGGGACUUCAUUUUGAUAAAUCUCAUGUCUCCUUUUUUCUUAUUGUUAUUUAAAAAAACUUUUCUGGUGCAAAUUUACAUCAUGGAAAUUAUUUAAAUCUUAUUAAAUUUCAAAUUGAAAUAAAUGCAUUCUUUGAUUGUA